GUUUUUAUAUUAUCACUGUUUCAAGUUUUGGGCCUGCUGGGAUUUGUUCUCUACUCAUUUAGUAUUUGCAUAGCUAGUUUUAGUUUCUGACCCAUCUGUGACCUAUCAGAUGAGACUCUGUGUUAAACACUGAUAAAAUUCCACGUAGAAUCGAUGAAAAGUCAAAGGUAGGAUUCACAGAAUUUCCCUGUGGUUUUAGAAUGUGAUCUCAAGAGCUUGGUGUAUUUAAUUUAUGAUUACAAUUUAGCUAUGGAACACUACUUCACCUCUUGAUUUUUGACUUUUUGUCCUCCAGAACAUCCUCCUGUGUGAAGAUCAAUGGAUCAGGUGGAUGUUUGGCACAACCCGACCAAAGAAGCAGGAGAUUUUAAGCAGAGGAAAACUCUGAAGUUGUUUCAGCAGGACACUUUCAAGAUGAUGCAAGUUGAUACAAAAUACCGAAGACAUCAAAAGAACGCCUGGUUACCAACAAGAAGACCCUAACAACGCCUGGAGCAGACUGUCAUUCACAAAAGUAAACAAUGACAGUCUGACAAAUACACUGCGAUUAAAUGGAACAGAGUUAAGUGACUCACCUGUAAGUAGGCUACAUUUCCACUUGAAGCUUGUCUACUUGCAUGCAUUAUAAAGCCGCACGUCUGGUUAAA
ensembl:lncRNA